rnacentral:rRNA from 1 species
CCUACGGGCGGCAGCAGUGAGGAAUAUUGGUCAAUGGUCGGGAGACUGAACCAGCCAAGCCGCGUGAGGGAUGAAGGUACAGAGUAUCGUAAACCUCUUUUGUCAGGGAACAAAGGCGGGGACGUGUCCCCGGCUGAGUGUACCCGAAGAAAAAGCAUCGGCUAACUCCGUGCCAGCAGCCGCGGUAAUACGGAGGAUGCGAGCGUUAUCCGGAUUUAUUGGGUUUAAAGGGUGCGCAGGCGGUCUGUUAAGUCAGCGGUCAAAGCCCGGGGCUCAACCCCGGCCCGCCGUUGAAACUGGCAGUCUCGAGUUGGAGAGAAGUAGGCGGAAUGCGCGGUGUAGCGGUGAAAUGCAUAGAUAUCGCGCAGAACUCCGAUUGCGAAGGCAGCAUGCCGGCUCCACACUGACGCUGAGGCACGAAAGCGUGGGUAUCGAACAGGAUUAGAUACCCGUGUAGUC